UACGGAGGGUGCGAGCGUUAAUCGGAAUCACUGGGCGUAAAGCGCGCGUAGGCGGCUUUUCAAGUCAGGGGUGAAAUCCCACGGCCCAACCGUGGAACUGCCUUUGAAACUGUAGAGCUUGAGUGUCGGAGAGGGUGGCGGAAUUCCAGGUGUAGGAGUGAAAUCCGUAGAUAUAUGGAAGAACACCAGUGGCGAAAGCGGCUCUCUGGUCUGUAACUGACGCUGAGGUUCGAAAGCGUGGGUAGCAAACAGG
rnacentral:rRNA from 1 species